UUAUAUUUAUAUUUACAUCCAACCUCCAGUCAUAGACUCCAUCUCAAAACCCCACCUACAUGAAAGCUAUAAGCUUAUUUUAGCUUACCAAAAAGCUUUCCAAUAGAGAACCAUGCACCAACACAAAGUAUUCAGAUGCAUAAAUGCAUUCAGGUAUUUAAUAAAACGAGGACAAUUCCGGAAAUCCACAAAACUGAGAGCGAUGAACAAUAUCAACCAAUCACAAAAAUUCAGUAACAAUUCACCACACCGUAGUCAAAAUAAUUGCUAAAUUAACACGAAGUCUCCAGAUUUCAUAGAUUUUCAGCAGCGAGACAUCAUACUAUGAUUGUUUUCAGUUAGGGUUAGGGUUAGAGACGAAGAUUUGGGCGAAGACCGAAAGCAGGUGGAAGUGAUCUCGUCGGAAAGACGAAGCUAGAAAAAAGAGGGGAAGGGGUAGGUUACGCAUACGAUCGGAGAGCGGAGGUGAGAUGAGAGGCGGCGGAUCGCCAAAUGACAUCGGAUGGGCGGGUGAGAUAUUAGCCCGCCGGAGGACAGAUCGGAGCUCCUUCGCCGACGGCCUGACCACCGGAGAGCGGUCCGCGUUCUUCAGGAGAGGAGCGGAGAGGAAGGGGAGAGGAAGGAGUGGGUAGGUGGGGAUGAGACCGAGAGGAAUUGGGGAGAGGAGUCGGGGUUAAAGGUCUUACGGGAGUGGGAUCUGAAAUAAGUACGCCGAUACGCGGUUAAAAACUGACUCCGAAUCCAACGUGACAUCAUAGCCAAAAAAAAAAAACUAAUUCUACAUGGUCCUUGUCCCUUGAUAUGAC
rnacentral:lncRNA from 1 species